rnacentral:rRNA from 1 species
GGUGGUUGAUCGCGUUCGGAAGUGUAAUCUUGGGGCUUAACCCUGAGCGUGCUUUCGAUACGGGUUGACUUGAGGAAAGGUAGGGGAGAAUGGAAUUCCUGGUGGAGCGGUGGAAUGCGCAGAUAUCAGGAGGAACACCAGUGGCGAAGGCGGUUCUCUGGGCCUUUCCUGACGCUGAGGAGCGAAAGCGUGGGGAGCGAACAGGCUUAGAUACCCUGGUAGUCCACGCUGUAAACGGUGGGUACUAGGUGUGGGGUCCAUUCCACGGGUUCCGUGCCGUAGCUAACGCUUUAAGUACCCCGCCUGGGGAGUACGGCCGCAAGGCUAAAACUCAAAGGAAUUGACGGGGCCCCGCACAAGCGGCGGAGCAUGCGGAUUAAUUCGAUGCAACGCGUAGAACCUUACCUGGGUUUGACAUGGAUCGGGAGUGCUCAGAGAUGGGUGUGCCUCUUUUGGGGUCGGUUCACAGGUGGUGCAUGGCUGUCGUCAGCUCGUGUCGUGAGAUGUUGGGUUAAGUCCCGCAACGAGCGCAACCCUUGUUCACUGUUGCCAGCACGUUAUGGUGGGGACUCAGUGGAGACCGCCGGGGUCAACUCGGAGGAAGGUGGGGAUGACGUCAAGUCAUCAUGCCCCUUAUGUCCAGGGCUUCACGCAUGCUACAAUGGCUGGUACAGAGAGUGGCGAGCCUGUGAGGGUGAGCGAAUCUCGGAAAGCCGGUCUCAGUUCGGAUUGGGGUCUGCAACUCGACCUCAUGAAGUCGGAGUCGCUAGUAAUCGCAGAUCAGCAACGCUGCGGUGAAUACGUUCCCGGGGCUUGUACACACCGCCCGUCAAGUCAUGAAAGUUGGUAACACCCGAAGCCGGUGGCCUAACCGUUGUGGGGGAGCCGUCGAAGGUGGGACUGGUGAUUAGGACUAAGUCGUAACAAGGUAGCCGUACCGGAAGGUGCGGCUGGAUCACCUCCUUCU